rnacentral:rRNA from 1 species
AACGAACGCUGGCGGCAUGCCUAACACAUGCAAGUCGAACGAGAUCUUCGGGUCUAGUGGCGCACGGGUGCGUAGCGCGUGGGAAUCUGCCCUUUGGUUCGGAAUAACAGUUGGAAACGACUGCUAAUACCGGAUGAUGACGAAAGUCCAAAGAUUUAUCGCCAGAGGAUGAGCCCGCGUAGGAUUAGCUAGUUGGUGUGGUAAAGGCGCACCAAGGCGACGUUCCUUAGCUGGUCUGAGAGGAUGAUCAGCCACACUGGGAGUGAGACACGGCCCAGACUCCUACGGGAGGCAGCAGUGGGGAAUAUUGGACAAUGGGCGAAAGCCUGAUCCAGCAAUGCCGCGUGAGUGAUGAAGGCCUUAGGGUUGUAGAGCUCUCUUACCCGGGAUGAUAAUGACAGUACCGGGAGAAUAAGCUCCGGCUAACUCCGUGCCAGCCGCCGCAGUAA